rnacentral:lncRNA from 1 species
GCAGCGCUAGGACAGCGCCCCUGCGCGGCCGCCAGCUCCGGCGCAGCGCCUCCCUACACGCGCGCCAACCGGGGCGCCCCCGGCCCGCAGGAAUCCCCGCGGCGGGCGCAGGCGGGGGUGUUUGGGUGGCUACCCGAAAGCACGAGGGGAGUCUGGGAAAACGGGAGGGGGCGAGCUCGGGAAGACGCAGGAGUGAGGGUGGGGGGCCACGGGGGGGCACUGCGGCUACAGAGCCCCGAGUGGGAGGCCGGGGGGAGGCGGGGGCGCCGGAGCUGGGCUGCCUCUUACCUAUCAGGAAAUUAAAAUUUUAAGGGCUAAUUCCCCUUCAUUCAAGAAAUAUUUACUGUGAUGAAGACAUGUUCCAUGCAGAGGAAAUGGCCAAUGCAAAGAGCCCCUGACUGGAGGGCAUUUGGCACAUUCUAGGAGAGUGAGGAGGAUUCUAUGGGCCAGGAAUUCAGACAGGGCACAGUGUUGAUGGCUUGUCUGUGUCCUGGCUGGGAUGGCUCAAAUGGUUGUGGGACUAUUUGACUUGAAAGGCUGGAGCCUGGAAUCAUUUGAAACAUUGUUCACUCAUGUGUCUGGCACCUGCGUUAGAAUGACUGAAGGCUACAUCAACUAGAGUACUUACAUCCGGUCUCUCCAUGUGACUUGGACUUUUCACAGCGUGGAGGCUGGAUUUCAAAGGUCAACUGAGAAUGGCAGAGGACUCAUCCCACCUUUGCCACAUGGUGACUUGCCCCACUCCCCCAGGUCAAAUAUGACAUGGCAUUGCAAAAUAAGCCUUUCCCCUCAUUACUUUCACUCCCUUGAUUAUGUGCA